AGAGUUUGAUCCUGGCUCAGAGCGAACGCUGGCGGCGUGCUUAACACAUGCAAGUCGAACGCGCAGCAUUCUGUAGCAAUACAGGGUGUGGGCGCGUGGCGGACGGGUGCGUAACACGUGGAUAACCUUCCUUGAGGUGGGGAAUAACCCAGUGAAAAUUGGGCUAAUACCGCAUAACAUCGCGAUGGCACAUGCUGAAUUGCGAUCAAAGGCGCAAGUCGCCACAAGAGGGAUCCGCGGCCGAUUAGCUUGUUGGCGAGGUAAUGGCUCACCAAGGCAAUGAUCGGUAGCCGGACUGAGAGGUUGGCCGGCCACACUGGAACUGAGAUACGGCCCAGACUCCUACGGGAGGCAGCAGCAGGGAAUCUUGCGCAAUGGGCGAAAGCCUGACGCAGCAACGCCGCGUGGGUGAUGAAGGCUUUCGGGUCGUAAAGCC
rnacentral:rRNA from 1 species